rnacentral:lncRNA from 1 species
GUCUUCCUGACUACAAGGCCUGUGGUCUAUCUCUUGUGUCACCUAGCUGUCCAAGAGAUUGAUAUGAAAGUCCUAAAAGCUAAAGUAAUCUUAGAGCAACAUUCAGAGAGACAGAAUUCAAGACUAAGAAAAUGACAGCAUAUAUGUGUUUUGCAUUUGUUCUGGACACAAGUAUAUUACGAAGUUGGAGAACAUCCACUCAAGGGUAGGCAAGAUGGUAGCUCUUGUCUUGAGAUCACACUUUAAGAUGAUCAUUUGAAUGGGCUGGGAAUGGUUAGCUUGGAGAAAAAAAGACUUAGUGGUGGUGGUCAGGGACAAUUGUGAUGAGAUAUUUUCUUAUUUCUGAUAUUCAAAAGGGAGACCAAAUUCCUUAAUAUCAUAAUCUAGUUUAUUACUGCAAAUCUCCUUUCUGAACUCUCCCCCUCCUCUCUCUUCUCUCCACUUCAAUUAGAUAAUAUUUACAAAGUUCUUAGCACAGUGCUGUGGCACAUAGUAGGUGUUAUCUAAUGCUCAUUCCCUUCCCCUUCCCUGCAAUGGGAAAUUUGUGUUGCUUAGCUCCAGAGGGCAGAAUCUGAUACACUGGAUAGAAGUCAUCAGGUAGGUUUAACCUUCAUAUCAGGAGAAGCUUUUUAUAAACCCCUAUUUUUUGUUUUAGUAACAAUUCUGGACUUCCUGGCUAAGAUGGCUGCAGCAUAGCAGGAAUGGCCUGAUUCUCCUCACAACCAAUUACUACAAAGUGUCUCAAAAGGACAAAAAUUAGAAUCAGAUGAGUGAAGGGGCUCUCCCACUGGAUGCAGCUUCGAAGAAAUGCUUUAUUGUGAGUUCAGCCUACCGGGCAUCCUUUCAUCCAUUAUCUAAAAAUGCCUACAUGAAAAGACAGCUGGCCUUUAGAGUAAGGCAGAAAGUAAGAGAAGGAUCUAUGGAAGAAGAGGGACUCGAACUGGGUCUUAAGGAAGAGGAUUUCAAUAACCAGAGAUGGAGAAGGAAUGAAUUUCAAGCAGGGAGGAAAUCUCCUUGCAUGAAUGUACAGAGGUUAGAAGAGGGCAGCAUUGAAAACAGCUUCCAUUCACUUCCCAAGAGAAGAAGUAUCAACUUAAACCAAGACCUUCAAGGUGGUGCUCAGGGGCCAAUGGAUAAUACAUUCAGAAUGUGAAGGAGUCAUACCAUCUCAAGCCCUCAUUUUCCAGAAGGAGAGACUGAGACCUAGAGAAGGUAAAUUACCAAGAUUAAAAUAAAUAGUGAGUGGCAGAGACA